AAUGAACGUUGGCGGCGUGGAUUAGGCAUGCAAGUCGCGCGACAAGGAACCUUCGGGUUCUGGAGGAGCGGCAAACGGGGUAGUAAGGCAUCGGAACGUACCCUCUUGUUGGGAAUAGCCGCGGGAAACUGCGAGUAGUGCCCAAUAAUCCCUACGGGGCAAAGGUCCGCCGCAGGAGGAGCGGCCGAUGUGAUACCAGCUAGUUGGUGAGGUAAUGGCUCACCAAGGCUUAGACGUCUAGGGGGUGUGAGAGCAUGGCCCCCACCACUGGGACUGAGAUACUGCCCAGACACCUACGGGUGGCUGCAGUCGAGAAUCUUCGGCAAUGGGCGCAAGCCUGACCGAGCAACGCCGCGUGCGGGAUGAAGGCCCUUGGGUUGUAAACCGCUGUCAGGGGGGAUGAAAGCGCAAGCUUGACAGAGCCCCAGAGGAAGCACGGGCUAAGUUCGUG
rnacentral:rRNA from 1 species